GUAGUCUCGCACAGAUGCAUAUCAAUAAGCGGAGGAAAAGAAACUAACAAGGAUUCCCUUAGUAACGGUGAGUGAAGCGGGAAGAGCUCAAAUUUGAAAUCUUCAAGGUUUUACCUUGACGAAUUGUAGUUUAAAGAAGUGUUUUCUGUUAAGAUUUGGUAAUAAAGUUCUUUGGAAUAGGACAUCAUAGAGGGUGAGAAUCCCGUAUUUGACCAUUAUUUUCAGCUGUGUGAUACACUUUCAAAGAGUCGGAUUGUUUGGGAAUGCAGUCCAAAAUGGGUGGUAAAUUUCAUCUAAAGCUAAAUAUUGGCGAGAGACCGAUAGCGAACAAGUACCGUGAGGGAAAGAUGAAAAGAACUUUGAAAAGAGAGUUAAACAGUACGUGAAAUUGUCAAAAGGGAAGCGUUUGACACCAGUGUUGUUUUCUCGAAAAUCAAUUAAAAAGAGUUAGAUUUUGUUGUGUAUUGACCUUAACAGCUUGCAUUUCAAUUUUCUUGCUUUUUUUAAUGCACUUUUCGUUUAACAAGUCAACAUCAGUUUCUUUUGUUGUAAAAAGGUCAUUGGAAGGUGGCUUUCUUUUCGGAGAAAGUGUUUAUAGCCUUUGACUCCUGCAAUCGGAGAGACUGAGGUCUGCAGCGUAGAUCCUUCGGGGUUAGAUACAUUUGUGCUAAGUUAUAGCUUUUUAUAGACAACUUGUUGACUAUGAUUAGUCUUGUAGCUUACUCGCUUAUGCUAUUUUACCUACGCUUAGGAUGUUGAAGAUGUAGCACAUCAU
rnacentral:rRNA from 1 species